rnacentral:lncRNA from 1 species
CAACAUUCAUACAAAGAUACAAACAGCACUCGGCAGCUAUAGACAGAUAAACAGAACGACGACCGACAAUUGGAAAAGAAAAUCGUCCAGAUUUCUGUACAAAACUCCAACGGAGAAGUCAGUUUUUGUGCAAUACCGCAGUAAUCUGGGAGGAGGAGUGGAUUCGGCUCAUGAAACACAUCUAUCAGGCAAAGCUCUUUGGUGUUGGCAUUUGCAGAGAAGGGGAUUUCAUCUCUUUUCAGUUUCUAUUUGACUUUCUCAAGUAAUUGGUGUUGGUUCCAUUUUUUCGACAAGCUUCAACUAAGGUACUCCAUCUCGCAUUGUUGUGUAGAUAGUAUAUGUGAUUAUAGCAAAUGUGUUUGCUUCUAAAUUAUUAUUUGAUUUUUUAUUAAUUGAGUUAUUGCUGGGAAUUGAAUUCUUGAAUUCCUGAGGUUUCAGGGAAUUGAAUUCUUGAAUUCCUGAGGUUUCAGGGAAUUGAAUUCUUGAAUUUCAUAUGGUUGGAAAUCAAAUUCUUGAGGUUUCAGGAAAAUAGUGAAUUCCCCCUAACAUAUGAAGAAAGCAAAAGUCAUCGUGCACUUGUAAAUAAUAGUUAGAUUUCCACUGGAGACUAAUUUUACCAAUAGAAACCCGAAGAAGAAAACAGAAGCUAUGCGUUAACCAUUGGCUUUUUUUGCCUUAUUACAACCAGUGUACUGGACUAGUUAGAUUCUGAACACUGGCUAAUUUAGAACUUGAAUGACAAAUUGAAAACAAGAACUGAAACAUAUCUCAAUAUUCAAUAGGCAGAAACAGAAAGAGUUGAAAGGAAGCUUCUUAUUUGUUUAAUUUAUUGUAUAAAUACAUAGACAUACAAGUUGGAUUUUGAUUCUCAUACUAUAUAGCAGUAAUGUCCUUUUGUUUUUGUUUUAAAAUGUGUUGAAAGGAAAAUUAGUAAUAGUAGUGAGGUUUACAUUAUUAACAAAUUGAGAUAUGAGGUGCAUCUAUUAAUAUAUUUUGAAAUAUUGCAACUGUUCAAUAACAUAUGUAAACAUUUACUUUCACAUUUACAGAAAAUAUUGAUUCUGAUCUAACAGACGAUGUAAUAAUGUUUUGUUAACAGAGAAAAAUGAGUUGUCAGGACGAUGACAUGCUACUGUUCCCAAAUUCUAUUAAGGUUCUUGAAAGUUUCCAAUAGUAUGCUAAUUCUAGUACUUUAAGGUACAACUUUUGUGGAUAAGGAGAGCAGAUGCGACUGCUGUUUGAUUAAUCUCCUGUUCUUGGCAUUUAGAUUUCCCCCAUGAAGGGAUAAGACACUGCUAGAGAACAAUUAUGUGUCCACAUGCAAAACUAUUUUAUUUGGAGAUUAUGUGGUUGAAACAAGUUCGGGAAAAAUAAAUUUUAGAAAAUAGGAGUCCAACAGGGCAUAAAUAAGAUGACAUCAACUACAAGUCAUAACAAAAGAUGAACUAGAUUAUAAGUUGUAAAUAUGAUACGUGAUUUAGCUAAUUAUGAUCCUUGUGUCUACACAAUUUUACAAGUAUCUGAACCUCCUCAACACUAUGUAGGAUGUAUGAGAUAUUGUUUUCUGGUGUCUUGUUUCCCUUUAGUGUAAAUUUUUAGUAAAUAAGAUAUGACAUUGUGCACAGAGUUAACCGAGGAGAGAACAAUAAAUGCCCAUUUAUAGAAGUAGAAUAGCAUUAUAGGAAAGCUUAAAAAAGUAAAACUGAAAAGAAGGUCGUGGCCAUAAAUCAUUAUUUUUUACCCAAAUGGGAGGAGUGUUUGUUGCAUUUGCAACGAGGAAAGACAUUGCAAUAUCUUCACAAUUUAAAGUACAAAUUCAGGUGUUUUUGUGAAAGAAAGCAGCUUUAGAGAGAACCAUGUUGUAUGUACGAGAUCCAGGUUACAACCCUCAAGCAAAUUGACAAUAUCGCUCUUUGCCGUGUGCUUUGUGAUACCACCUAGUCUCCCAUAAACUAAACCUGUUAAAAGAACAGAGUACAAGUCUCACAAACUUAGAAUGGUAAAACUCCAUCAGCUCUGAUUUCAUUUUAAAAAAAAAAAAUUAUCAGAGCACGAAUUAUCAGAGCUUUUUUUUUUUGUCAGGGGAAAAAAUACAAAGUCUAGGCAUAAAACACAGUUUUAAUUCCCCUCUAUGAUUCUUUCUGCAAUUCUUGUUUAUUCAUUACUUUGUUUUAGAUCCCAGGCAUUUAUUUUAUUCUUUUAAAAUUUUUCAUAUUAUAAAAAAUAAAGCAAUAACUUCCUUUGUAUUGCUUGGAGGGGAUUGUUUCUAUAUAUUUAGAUAUGGAUACAUCUGGCACACUGCUAUUAUUAUUGCUGGGUUGUAUAUUUGCUAUUUUUCUAAAAAUUACUAACUACAUAUCAUGUAUGGUCUAGGUGAAUAAACUGAUAUACAUGAUGGAUAGGAGUUGGAUGCGACUUCGUAAUAGAUUAAAUGAAGAAUAUUUAGACGGUAUUAAUUCAUUUAUGGAGGUAGCCAAACAAUGUCUGGAUGAGAACAAUGAGGUUCGCUGUCCAUGUCGAAAUUGUCAAAAGACAUUCUUUCAGUCACUAGAUGUGGCAAAAUCUCACUUAUACCACUCUAGAAUCUCCGCAAGUUACGAGAGAUGGAUUUUUCAUGGAGAGGAACUUGAGAAUAAUAUGUAGGGUGUUGAAAGAAAUUCAUUUGAAUUGGACGAAGAAGAAAAGGAUGAUGAGAUGAAUGAUAUGUUAGAAGAUCUAUGCGCUCCCAUGUCAUCUAAAGCUAACCAAACUCGGGAGGAGGAAGAACAUGGAGGAAAUCAUAAUUUCUCGCCUCAAAUGCCUAAUGAAGAUAGCAACCAGUUCGUGGAGAUGAUAACUGAAGCUCAAUGAACUUUGUUUCCCGACUUUGAAAUGUCAUUAUUGAACUUUAUGGUGAUAUUGAUAUCGGUAAGUAAAACGUCCUUUAUAUAUAUAUAUAGGUUUUUUUUUUUGGCGUAAUGUUUUUCUAAUUUAUUUUUUAAUUACUAUCUACAUUUUUUCCUUUCCUUUGUAGAUUCGAGUUCUGACGAUGUAUCAUCCGAGAGUUGAUAAUAAUUUUUAUUCACAUUUAAGGUUAGAGUAAUCGACCAAUGAAAUAUAUUUGAUUACUUAUUGUAAUGGUUGUUGAUCUUGUGCUAAUAUUCAAUGUGAGAUAUUUGAAAUAUUUUCUUCAAGCUAAUAUUUCAUUACCUUCUACAUGUACAUGUUUGACUAAAUUUGUGGUGCUUUUUCUUUAUAGGAAUUCUCAUUUAACCAAAGAACAUGUUGAUGAUGAGUUGGAAGCAUAUCUUGGAGUCAAGAAUGUUUUUUGGGUGUCCAGUGAGUUUUUUUGUUAUUUCUUCCACAUUUCUAGUUCUAUUUUCUAAUUUUCAAAUUUGUUGAGUCAUUCAAAGUAGUUCGACCUUGAAAUCACUAGUACUAUAGUUUAUUCGUAUUUGUUUUGAUUUUGG